CUUCAAAUAACCAAAAUCCUCGGAAUCGGAUUCAACAG
rnacentral:other from 1 species